rnacentral:rRNA from 1 species
UCCUACGGGGGGCAGCAGUGGGGYGCACAAKGGGCCGAAGCCUGAUGCAGCGACGCCGCGUGAGGGAUGACGGCCUUCGGGUUGUAAACCUCUUUCAGCAGGGAAGAAGCGAAAGUGACGGUACCUGCAGAAGAAGCGCCGGCUAACUACGUGCCAGCAGCCGCGGUAAUACGUAGGGCGCGAGCGUUGUCCGGAAUUAUUGGGCGUAAAGAGCUCGUAGGCGGCUUGUCGCGUCGGUUGUGAAAGCCCGGGGCUUAACCCCGGGUCUGCAGUCGAUACGGGCAGGCUAGAGUUCGGUAGGGGAGAUCGGAAUUCCUGGUGUAGCGGUGAAAUGCGCAGAUAUCAGGAGGAACACCGGUGGCGAAGGCGGAUCUCUGGGCCGAUACUGACGCUGAGGAGCGAAAGCGUGGKGAGCGAACAGGAUUAGAUACCCGGGUAGUCAA